GUGUCAGCAGCCGCGGUAAUACGUAGGGUGCGAGCGUUAAUCGGAAUUACUGGGCGUAAAGAGUGCGUAGGCGGUUUUGUAAGACAGAUGUGAAAUCCCCGGGCUCAACCUGGGAACUGCGUUCGAAACUGCAAGGCUAGAGUGUGUCAGAGGGGGGUAGAAUUCCACGUGUAGCAGUGAAAUGCGUAGAUAUCUAGAGGAACGCCAAUGGUGAAGACAGGCGACUGGGCCGAUUCUGACGCUGAGGCACGAAAGCGUGGGUAGCAAACGGGAUUAGAUACCCCGGUAGUCCACGCCCUAAACGAUGUGCACUAGAUCGCCGAGGCUCUGACGCCGCGGUGGUCGAAGGAAAACUGAUAAGUGCACCGCCUGGGGAGUACGGUCGCAAGGCUAAA
rnacentral:rRNA from 1 species